rnacentral:rRNA from 1 species
UACAGAGGGUGCGAGCGUUAAUCGGAAUUACUGGGCGUAAAGCGCACGUAGGCGGCUUGGUAUGUCGGGUGUGAAAUCCCCGGGCUCAACCUGGGAACUGCAUCCGAAACUGCCUUGCUCGAGUAUGGGAGAGGGAAGCGGAAUUUCCGGUGUAGCGGUGAAAUGCGUAGAUAUCGGAAGGAACAUCAGUGGCGAAGGCGGCUUCCUGGACCAAUACUGACGCUCCGGUGCGAAAGCGUGGGGAGCAAACAGG